rnacentral:rRNA from 1 species
GAUGAACGCUAGCUACAGGCUUAACACAUGCAAGUCGAGGGGAAACGACAUUGAAGCUUGCUUCGAUGGUCGUCGACCGGCGCACGGGUGAGUAACGCGUAUCCAACCUGCCUCUGACCAAGGGAUAACCCGUCGAAAGUCGGCCUAAUACCUUAUGCAGUCGUCGGAAGUCAUCUGAUGACGACGAAAGAUUUCAUCGGUGAGAGAUGGGGAUGCGUCUGAUUAGCUUGUUGGCGGGGUAACGGCCCACCAAGGCAACGAUCAGUAGGGGUUCUGAGAGGAAGGUCCCCAACAUUGGAACUGAGACACGGUCCAAACUCCUACGGGAGGAAGCAGUGAGGAAUAUUGGUCAAUGGGCGAGAGCCUGAACCAGCCAAGUAGCGUGCAGGAUGACGGCCCUAUGGGUUGUAAACUGCUUUUAUGCGGGGAUAAAGGGAGGGACGUGUCCUUCAUUGCAGGUACCGCAUGAAUAAGGACCGGCUAAUUCCGUG